AACAAUUCUGUGAUUUGCUUGGCUAUGGUGACAGCUGAAAGCUAAGUAGGUAUGGUGGACAGGAAGAUCAGCCAAGAGUUUCAUUUGUGGGGUGUGUUCAGGCUCAAGCAAGAAGUGCCUGAGCUGCUGUUUGAGCUUAGAGGUUGAAGAGUGAAGGAAGAACUGGUAUGAGUAGAAGACAGGAGAGGAUACAAGUAAAUUUGCCCGUGCCAGCUUCAUGUGAAAUGUGGGGCAGGCUGCAGAUUCUACCUCAUAGCAACAGUUUACUAUGAGAUGCGUUACAUAGGUUUCUGUACAGUUUUGGAAUUUUGGAGGGUUCUUCCUCCUUGGAUUCUAGAGAGAGAUACCUUUUUCACCCUUGCUAUUUAGCAAGUUUUGGACUAAAUUGCACAAGAUGUUGUACUCAUGUUCUAUUCUAAUAAAUUACAUGAAAUAUGAAGAAA